rnacentral:rRNA from 1 species
UACGUAGGGUGCAAGCGUUGUCCGGAAUUAUUGGGCUUAAAGAGCUCGUAGGCGGUUUGUCGCGUCGAAUGUGAAAACCCGGGGAUCAACCCCGGGCCUGCAUUCGAUACGGGCAGACUAGAGUUCGGUAGGGGAGUCUGGAAUUCCUGGUGUAGCGGUGAAAUGCGCAGAUAUCAGGAGGAACACCGGUGGCGAAGGCGGGACUCUGGGCCGAUACUGACGCUGAGGAGCGAAAGCGUGGGGAGCAGACAGG